GCUUUCAAGAUGUAUAGGAUAACGAAAGAAGGGAGAAUUGAAGAAUUUGCUAGGAUCUUUGUUUCUACUACUACUCCUUCAAAGCCAAGUGAUGCGAUGAGCGGGCCCGUUUGACCCAUGGACGUAUGGAGAACAUUUGGUGGCAGUAAUCAUAAUAGCAACCAAUGAAGUUCGGUGCAAUGUAUUAGACAAUUAAGUAUGGUAGUUGAUUUAUUGGAUGUAGUAGAUCCUUUAUGAUUAAUGGUUGGAGUGGAUGUGUUUAAUGUUAGUUUUUUAGACUAAUGAUAAUACUAAUUUUAGACUAGAUGUGUUUAAUGUUAGUGUUUGAGACUAAUGGUAACUUAAUUUAUGUUACUGUCAAUAUGGUUUAGUAGUA